ACAAGAGCCGGAGGUGAGGGGGCCGUUUCCGGUCCCUGACUGGGCUUUUUGUAUUCUGCGACUGUGAGAGUGGUGGAUCAUCUCCUGGAGUAUUGCCCAUCUUCGCAUCUUCCUCUGUCGUCCUGUGUCCUGCUUGUCCUGGGAAUCCGUGGGGAGGACGUCGGGACGCCCGGAAGCCGGGAGAUGGGGCUGUUGACUUUCAAGGAUGUGGCUGUAGAAUUCUCUCCAGAGGAGUGGGAAUUCCUGGACCCAACUCAUCUGAUAUUAUACCAUAACGUUAUGUUAGAUAACCACAGAAACUUGGUUCUUCUAGGACUCGCUGUCUCUAAGCCAGACCUGAUCAAGUGUCUGGAGCAAAGGAAAGAGCACUGGGAUAUGAAGAGAAACAGCAUGCUAGUCAAACCUCCAGGUUGGGGUGAGUGAAUGAAGUUGAUGACAGAGGUCAAGAUGUCCACAAAGGGACAUCUGUUAUUCCAUGUUCUGAAAUUCUCCAAAAGCUCUGCUGCUUCUUCAGUGAUCUCCUUUCAAGGUUACAGAGAAAAUCAGUCCACUUAAUGGUUUGUUAGGAAGUGCAUGAUCUGACUACCUUUCUGAUGCUUUUGGAGACGUGCAAAUAUCUGCUUAUUUAUUUAGAAAAUCUAUGUCAAAGUAUUUUUUAAGUUUUCUUUUCACAUCAUGUUGGAAAUAAGUGAGAGAAGUGGUUUUGAUAUUUGAGAAAUUUUAAGAACUAAAGACAGAUGUCAUAUGCUUUCAACUUAAUGAGAUUCUAUCCUAGGGAAGUUUCCAAUGUGAUUUUGUAUAACUUCAUACUCCAUAAUUCUACCAGAACACCAUUAAUCUCUCUUGAUAGAAGAUAUAUUGUUAAUUUAUUUUUCUUUUUUCUGUUUUUAAUGUACUGAGAUAGGUAAUUUAUUUCUAUAU